rnacentral:rRNA from 1 species
GACGGAAGGUGCAAGCGUUGCUCGGAAUCACUGGGCGUAAAGGGCGCGUAGGCGGGCGGCCAAGUCGGAGGUGAAAGCCUGCAGCUCAACUGCAGAAGUGCCCCCGAUACUGGUUGUCUCGAGGGAGGUAGGGGCAUGUGGAACUUCCGGUGGAGCGGUGAAAUGCGUAGAUAUCGGAAGGAACGCCGGUGGCGAAAGCGACGUGCUGGACCUCUACUGACGCUGAGGCGCGAAAGCCAGGGGAGCAAACGGG